CAGUACCCUUCUGAGGUUAAUCCGCGUUGAUAGAAGCAGGUGUGGUUCAUCUGGAAUCUGUUGGUGUGAACUGCGCGGCGGCGUCCCCCACCAGGCACCACAGCGGGCGCCUCUUGGUAGCAGCCACCGGCCUCUUCUGGGACUCGCCGGAGGGUUUCCACGUCGCCCGCUCCGACGGGGCUGUUCAUCUCCCCUUGAUCUGUGGGACUCCCCGUCCGUCUCAGGUAUGACCCCUUUGUUGGUGAUCUGGGUUGCAGAUAUCCCCUCUGUGUCUGUGGCUUGUCUCGCUGCGUUGUUUAUGGUGCGCUUUUGUCAUGCAGACGUUUCUAAUUUUGCUCUGUCUGGACUUGGCAAUCUUUCUGUUCGUGAUUUGUGCUUUUGGUGUUUAUGUACAAACUCUUUCCCGGUCCAGAAAGCAUAAAAAAGUUUGCUUUGUG
rnacentral:lncRNA from 1 species